rnacentral:rRNA from 1 species
AUUGAACGCUGGCGGAAUGCUUUACACAUGCAAGUCGAGCGGCAGCGCGGGGCAACCUGGCGGCGAGCGGCGAACGGGUGAGUAAUACAUCGGAACGUACCCAGUUGUGGGGGAUAGCCCGGCGAAAGCCGGAUUAAUACCGCAUACGACCUGAGGGUGAAAGCGGGGGAUCGCAAGACCUCGCGCAAUUGGAGCGGCCGAUGGCGGAUUAGCUAGUUGGUAGGGUAAAGGCCUACCAAGGCGACGAUCCGUAGCGGGUCUGAGAGGACGGCCCGCCACACUGGAACUGAGAAACGGUCCAGACUCCUACGGGAGGCAGCAGUGGGGAAUUUUGGACAAUGGGGGAAACCCUGAUCCAGCCAUUCCGCGUGAGUGAAGAAGGCCUUCGGGUUGUAAAGCUCUUUCGGCAGGAACGAAACGGUGGGUCCUAAUACGAUCUGCUAAUGACGGUACCUGAAGAAGAAGCACCGGCUAACUACGUGCCAGCAGCCGCCGUAA